GUGCCUAAGGGAUGAACAGGUUCCCAUAUUUACAAUCCAUUUUGUUGACUCUGUUGGCUAAUAGCUCUAUAUUUUUAGCUGAUCAUUAAGGUUGGGAAAUUU
rnacentral:snoRNA from 1 species